UCCAAGUUUUGGAAAUUAUGAAUAAAGCUGCCAUAACAUCUGUGUGCAGGUUUUUCUAUGGAUGUAAGUUUUUGACUCACUUAGGUAAAUGCCAAGGAAUACAUUUGUUGGAUCAUAUGGUAAGAGUAUGGUUGUUAUUUAAUGAACAGACCCCUAACCAAUUGUGUUAUAUCUUAUUUGGAGAAUGGUUAUAUGAACAGAAUGAGGUUAAUCAACUAAGGCCUGGUGAUAAUUCAUUGUAUGUGUCAACUUGACGGGGCCACAGGUGCCCAAAUAACUCGUCAGACAUUAUUCUGGAUGUUUCUGUGAGGGUGUUUCUGGGUGAGGUUAACAUUUAAAUUGGUGGGCUUCAGUAAAGCAGAUCACCCUCCCUGGUGUGGGUGGGCCUCGUCCGAUCAUAGAACAGGAAGGCUGAUCGCCCCCAGGUAAGAGGGACUUCAUCUCAGGGUCUCCUGUACCACUGGUGUGCACUGCAGAGUUUGGACUUACAGCCUCUGUAUUCACACGAGCCAAUCCUUAUAAUUACCUUCUGGUUCUGUUUUUCUAGAGAACUAUGACUAAUCCAGACCUCAUGAACUAAAAAGGGUCUUGGGCCAACACUAGGAAGAGAAUCUUGGCUAAGAGCAUCGGGCCAUCACAGUUAGGUACAGAGCAGCAAAUUAACCCAAAGGGAAAGAAAGCAGGAACAGAACUCCGGAACCUGAAGAAUGAAUCCGAGGCGCCUCUAACUUCACUUAAUGGACACACAAGGAAGAGGUAGUGUGAGCACCCCGUGAGAUGGUGGCCCCUACAAGAAAAGAAAAGAGUCCUCAGAAGGAAAUCUACCUUGUCAGCACCUUGGUGUGGGACUUCCCAGCCUCCAGAACUGUAAGAAAGAAAUGUCUAUUGUUUAAGUCCCCCAGUUCGUGGUACUGUGUUAUAGCAGCCCCCCGCUGACUAAUGCAUGGAGCCAUCUUCUUUCACUGCCUGUCGCCUAGUUUGCCAGGAUGCAGUGAUUUUUAUUAACACACACAAAUGCCUCCUGGAAUCAUGAUCCGUUGGGCUCUGAGAGGCGCAGGCAGCGUGGAAGUUCUCUCACCUCUUAUCACGUGUGGGGGGGGCGUUGACUCCAGCACGUGGGCCCCUUGCGCAAGCAUCGGAAUCACUGGGGUCGGUGAGGGGUUGGCCCACGAUGGGAUUGAGCCCGGGGCAACUUUGCUGCCGUAAUACAGGGCACCUGUGCAGAAACACCUGCGUCUGUUAGUUCCCAGGUUUACGUUUCUAUGGAAAUUGCCUACAAUUUCAGGAAUCUGUUUUAUGCAGCCCCUGGAGGCUGUCAGCUGAGGGUUUCUUCCUUAUUUUUAUUCCAGAAAGUAGAAUGGAAAUACAAGUUCAACUAGAAAAAGCACAAUAUAAAAUUUCUAAUAAUUAAUAUGGAAUUUCUUCAUGUAUUUUUUUAAAUGAGUGGUGGUGUACGUAUCAAAUUAGGUAUCCUAUUUC